rnacentral:piRNA from 1 species
UGGUAAGCUACAUUAAUAGAGAUGAUUGUC